rnacentral:rRNA from 1 species
GACGAACGCUGGCGGCGUGCCUAAUACAUGCGAGUAGAACGCUGAAGAGAGGAGCUUGCUCUUCUUGGAUGAGUUGCGAACGGGUGAGUAACGCGUAGGUAACCUGCCUUGUAGCGGGGGAUAACUAUUGGAAACGAUAGCUAAUACCGCAUAACAAUGGAUGACACAUGUCAUUUAUUUGAAAGGGGCAAUUGCUCCACUACAAGAUGGACCUGCGUUGUAUUAGCUAGUAGGUGAGGUAAUGGCUCACCUAGGCGACGAUACAUAGCCGACCUGAGAGGGUGAUCGGCCACACUGGGACUGAGACACGGCCCAGACUCCUACGGGAGGCAGCAGUAGGGAAUCUUCGGCAAUGGGGGCAACCCUGACCGAGCAACGCCGCGUGAGUGAAGAAGGUUUUCGGAUCGUAAAGCUCUGUUGUAAGUCAAGAACGGGUGUGAGAGUGGAAAGUUCACACUGUGACGGUAGCUUACCAGAAAGGGACGGCUGACUACGUG